GUCCUGACACUUUUCGAAUAGUUGAGAGUAAAAACAAAAAGGAUUGCGUAACUAGGAAAAAGUUUUAGAGGUCAAGACGAGACUUUUCCUUGGAAAAUGUUGUUGCCUUGGAUCCGGUUCGGAGCUUCGCAGAUCUAUUGUUUUUUUAACGAAAACUAUGGAGUUCGGUUAUUUUAAUAUUUAGGAAUUGAUUAUCAUUUUUCUUGAUACAUAUAGGGUACUUACAUAUAUUUCAGUCUCCAGAAAAGAAAAUGCCACUGAAUCUCUAAAAGUAAAAAUUAUACGAACGAGUUGAAUUUUGCUGAAAAUAUAAAUUUUGGGAUUCCAAAAGAGAUGCAAAAAACAGUUUGAUGUUUGCCAGUCCUACCCCCGGGCUUCCUCCUAAAUCCCCCCUCGUAGAGGAGGAAAAACAGAAAACAUCUAUAUAUACUAAGAAUCGGUAUGCCAUGCCGUAGAAAAAGAUGUUUUAAACAAGAAAUGUUGCUGAGAAAAUUUUGAAUAAACACGUUUAUUAGCACUUUUUGUGUAGGAUAAACCGUUUUCUCAGAAGCAACGCUUGCAGCGACCGGUGAUUUUGAAUGUCAGUUUAAGGCAUGAAAUCAAUUUUUUAAAUAAAAUUUAAAUAUCAACUUAAAUUUAAAUAAAAUCAACUCGACUUCAACAAUUCGAUAUCUUUUGAUCAGACUCUCCUAUCGACAAAAAUCAAAAAGAGGUUUGAAAGAUGAAGAGUGCAGCUUUUGUAUGCAAUUUUUGCAAUUUGCCAUAAAUGAAAUUAGUUUCCAUAAAGCUGUUAAAUAAAUAAACGUUGUGCGAUUUUUGAGAAUAUUUAACAGAUGAAUAAUAGUUAUUUAUGUACCAAAUCAGUAAAGUGACUCUUUAUCGAACGAGUCUUGAUAUUACGAGAAGAGCGAGCUUAGCGAGCAACAGACGAGUUCGAUAAAGAGUCUUUACUGACGUGGUGCAUACAAAAUUUUAUCGCCAACAUAAUUUGAUUGGAAAUCAACUUGGAAUUUGAGUUCCGAUGAUUAGAACCUUAAAGUUGACUGCGUAAGAGUUUGGGCUAUGUAAUUAUUUAAAAAUAAUAUAAAAUUUAUAAAAUAAAUUGAAUAAAAAUC